GACGAACGCUGGCGGCGUGCUUAACACAUGCAAGUCGAACGGAAAGGCCCUGCUUUUGUGGGGUGCUCGAGUGGCGAACGGGUGAGUCACACGUGUGUAACCUGCCCUUGACUUUGGGAUAACUUCAGGAAACUGGGGCUAAUACCGGAUAGGAGCUCCUGCUGCAUGGUGGGGGUUGGAAAGUUUCGGCGGUUGGGGAUGGACUCGCGGCUUAUGAGGUUGUUGGUGGGGUAAUGGCUUACCAAGGUUUUGACGGGUAGCCGGCCUGGGAGGGUGACCCGGAGAACUGGGACUGAGACAUGGCGCCGACUCCUACGGCAGGACGCAGUCGGGAAUAAUGAAUAAUGGGCGUAAGCCUGAGGCAGCGACGCCGAGUGAGCGAUGACGGCCUUGGGGUUGUAACCCUCUUUCAGUAUGGAACAAGGAUCCGUCUUUUGGGGGGUUUGAGGGUACGUGCAGAAGAAGCGCCGGCUAACUACGUG
rnacentral:rRNA from 1 species